rnacentral:rRNA from 1 species
CACGUAGGGUGCGAGCGUUAAUCGGAAUUACUGGGCGUAAAGCGUGCGUAGGCGGUUCCUCAAGUCCGUUGUGAAAGCCCCGGGCUCAACCUGGGAAUGGCAGUGGAAACUAGGGGACUGGAAUCUGGCAGAGGGGGGUGGAAUGCCGCGUGUAGCAGUGAAAUGCGUAGAGAUGCGGCGGAACACCGAUGGCGAAGGCAGCCCCCUGGGCUGAGAUUGACGCUCAGGCACGAAAGCGUGGGGAGCAAACAGG